rnacentral:lncRNA from 1 species
AAAAACGAAUUUAAUACAUUUUAAGAAUAGACCACGUUCAACAGACAGACAGACAGACAGACAGACAGACAGGAAGCCACCAGACCUCCAGGGCCACGUUCAGUAACCAGACAGACAGACCGUUUAGGAGUAAAUACUUUAUUAACAUUCUCCUUCAGCAACACCUCUACAGGAAAUAGAGACUCUGUUCCUGGUUCCCAUGGCUACGAGUGGUUAGUUAGUGAGACGGGCGGAGACAGACCCUCCUCUCUGCUCUGCUACAGUCUUUAAUGAGGUCCCUUUAACACAAGAGGUCCCCUGUGGUCCCGUGACCCAAACCACAGAAUACUGCUUAGCGUUAACUAUGGUGACAGGUUCUCUGAUCGUUUGGUAGAACCCGUCUCGUCUCCUCUGGGUCUCAACCUAAAAACAUUUCAAUUGUUGACUUGUGCCAAGGUCCUCCUCUGUUACCCAGAACACACUGCUUCACCCAGACAGCGUCCCAACAGUCUAAAGCAGCUCGUCUUCUCCUCCUUCUCAUCUGAAAGUGUCCUGGUCACCCUGAAAGCUAAUUCCCUCAUCAUAUAUACUCUUUAUACCCGCUUUCACUUGUCCUGUGUUUUUCCUGCGCAGACGAAGGAGGGGUGAGGAGGCGAGAGGAAGAGAAGGGAGGAAGCAUCUUCAGACUAUUGAGAUUCAGCCGGCCUGAAUUCCCUCCAUUAUUCAAACAAUUCAGUUAGCGCUCUUGACAGAUAGCAUUUAGCCAACUGUUAGCUCUAGAC